AGUUGCCAUCGGGUGAAGCCGGGCACUCUGGAAGGACUGCCAUCGACAAGAUGGAGGAAGGUGGGACGACGUCAAGUCAUCAUGGCCCUUAUGUCCAGGGCGACACACGUGCUACAAUGGCCGGCGACAACGGGAAGCGAGUUCGCGAGGACGAGCGGAUCCCUUAAAGCCGGUCGCAGUUCGGAUUGAAGUCUGCAACUCGACUUCAUGAAGCUGGAAUCGCUAGUAAUCGCAGAUCAGCCAAGCUGCGGUGAAUACGUUCCCGGGCCUU
rnacentral:rRNA from 1 species